CCUACGGGUGGCAGCAGUGAGGAAUAUUGGUCAAUGGACGAGAGUCUGAACCAGUCAAGUCGCGUGAGGGAAGACGGUCCUACGGAUUGUAAACCUCUUUUGCCGGGGAGCAACGGGGUCCUUGCGAGGGCCCGAUGAGAGUACCCGGAGAAAAAGCAUCGGCUAACUCCGUGCCAGCAGCCGCGGUAAUACGGAGGAUGCGAGCGUUAUCCGGAUUUAUUGGGUUUAAAGGGUGCGUAGGCGGGCUGUUAAGUCAGCGGUCAAAUGUCGGGGCUCAACCCCGGCCUGCCGUUGAAACUGGCGGCGUCGAGUGGGCGAGAAGUAUGCGGAAUGCGGGGUGUAGCGGUGAAAUGCAUAGAUAUCACGCAGAACUCCGAUUGCGAAGGCAGCGUACCGGCGCCAGACUGACGCUGAGGCACGAAAGCGUGGGGAUCGAACAGGAUUAGAUACCCUAGUAGUC
rnacentral:rRNA from 1 species